rnacentral:rRNA from 1 species
GUCUAUGGCCAUGCUACCCUGAACACAUUCGAUCCUGUCUGAUCUCGGAAGCUAGGCAGGGUCGGGCCUGGUUAGUCCUUGGAUGGGAGACCUCCUAAGAAGACCAGGUGCUAUAGGCA